CGGUAACAUGUUCUAGCUUGCUAGAAGAUAGACGAGUGGCGGACGGGUGAGUAAUGCUUGGGAACUUGCCUUUGCGAGGGGGAUAACAGUUGGAAACGACUGCUAAUACCGCAUAAUGUCUUCGGACCAAACGGGGCUUCGGCUCCGGCGCAAAGAGAGGCCCAAGUGAGAUUAGCUAGUUGGUAAGGUAACGGCUUACCAAGGCGACGAUCUCUAGCUGUUCUGAGAGGAAGAUCAGCCACACUGGGACUGAGACACGGCCCAGACUCCUACGGGAGGCAGCAGUGGGGAAUAUUGCACAAUGGGGGAAACCCUGAUGCAGCCAUGCCGCGUGUGUGAAGAAGGCCUUCGGGUUGUAAAGCACUUUCAGUUGUGAGGAAAAGUUAGUAGUUAAUACCUGCUAGCCGUGACGUUAACAACAGAAGAAGCACCGGCUAACUCCGUGCCAGCAGCCGCGGUAAUACGGAGGGUGCGAGCGUUAAUCGGAAUUACUGGGCGUAAAGCGCACGCAGGCGGUUUGUUAAGCUAGAUGUGAAAGCCCCGGGCUCAACCUGGGAUGGUCAUUUAGAACUGGCAGACUAGAGUCUUGGAGAGGGGAGUGGAAUUCCAGGUGUAGCGGUGAAAUGCGUAGAUAUCUGGAGGAACAUCAGUGGCGAAGGCGACUCCCUGGCCAAAGACUGACGCUCAUGUGCGAAAGUGUGGGUAGCGAACAGGGAUUAGAUACCCUGGUAGUCCACACCGUAAACGCUGUCUACUAGCUGUGUGUGUCUUUAAGGCGUGCGUAGCGAAGCUAACGCGCUAAGUAGACCGCCUGGGGAGUACGGCCGCAAGGUUAAAACUCAGUGAAUUUGACGGGGGGCCCGCACAAGCGGUGGGAGCGAUGUGGUUUAACUUCGAUGCAACGCGAAGACCUUUACCUACACUUGACAUGCUGAGGAGUUACGUAGAGGAUAGUUUCGUGCCGUUCGGAACGUCAGACAACAGUGCUGCAUGGCUGGUCGUCAGCUCGUGUCGUGAGAUGGUUGGGGUUGAGGUCCUGACACCGAAGCGCAAGCCGUCGUCAUAACUGCAAGCGUAAGGUUGGGUCAGCUCCGUACGCGAGAACUUGGCGCGGGAUGUCUAC
rnacentral:rRNA from 1 species